GGGCGAGGCCUGCUGAGCAAACUGCUUCCCUGUCAGCGCGGUGCCGUUCCCACCCCAGUUCUCGUGUGAAACAGUUGUGAGUAGCUGUGGAACCAGAAGGAACAGAACACAGGGCAGCGGGAUGAGGCAAAAGGCAGACCCGGAUCUGGGAGCAGCAUUCAGCCUGGCUAGAUGAGCCCUGGUUCUGCUGCCCUUGGGGCCUGGGGAGCAGCAGGUGGGAAGAAGAUGUGCUGGCAGCGGCUGCAUGGAUUCACAUGGAGGGAUAUGAUCUUCCCCACUCCCACCUUUCUAUCUUUCUCCACUGGAACUGGCUUUGAGGUCCACAUCGCUCCUGGAAAUACACUGCUGAGGUAUUCAGCAAAAAGCAGAGCAUCCAACCUAAUUCUUCUCUCCUCUGAAUGUUUCUGUUCUCUUAUGCUGCCUAAAUGGACACCUUACCCCUCUGAGCAAGAGGUGCUGGGCUGGUGCCAAGCCCAGGGAAAGCCAGCAAAGUCCCUGCGAGCAGCAGCAAAGCUGAAAGUUGUCUCGGAGGAAAUUGCUAGACCAAGACAGGGAUUUGUUCCUGCUUUAUGUUCGUGUUCAGCCUGGGAAGCUGAAGUCUUCCAAGGAAGCAACCAAGUAUCAGCAAGCAGAUUCUGUUCCUUACUCCUGAGAAGCUAAAUCCGAAGAAAGAAAGACAAGAUUUUCUUCUGAGAUGUGGUGUGACUACAGGUUCUGCUAUUUGUUUAUGAUGUUCCACCAGUUUACAUAGUCACAGCUGCUUAUUUAGUACAUAGGUAAUCCUGUAGCAAAAUAAUGUUAACACAGUCAUUCUUAUGACACUUCUGGGUCUGGUAUUAAGGAUACCAACAGAGGAGUGAGGGUAUCCCCGUGCUUCUUGGUCUUUGCCUGCCACUGAGCUCCACAGUGCCAGAAGAGUUCAGCUGCCUUAGGUGAUGACAAUAAGGAAAGAACAUUUACUGCAGGUUGUAGGUACUCAUCUAAGCACUAUGUGGUGUGCUGUAAUUGCAGGCUGCAUUAGGUCAUGCUUUGUCACAAGGCUUAUUCCAAACAGAAGUCGCUUCCAUUGGAUUGUCCUUGCAGCAGCAACGUAAAUGAACAAGCUUGGGCAGCUUUGCCAGAAAUGUCUAAAACUAAAUAAUUAGUCAACAGCCAUUCAUGCAGCAUAUGACAGAAGUGCUAUUAUUGUCAGGGAGAGUACGGAGCCUGUGACUACAACUCACCACUCAAUCUGAACAGUUAGUUGAACAUAACACGCUUGUAAUAAUAUUUAAAGCUUAAUAUCUGAUGCGUGUAUGAGAGUCCAAAUUCACAUGACAUACAAGAAAAAAACAACGACUGGUACAUUAGAGACAUGAAUUCCUUUUAAGUUAGCUAAGGAAAUUGGCAGGUAGUUCUUAAGAACUUGUUUGUAUACAAAUCCCUUUCUGCUGCUGGAAAUCCAGCAGCAAUGUUCAAACUUUAGGCAAAAGUGCUCACAAGCUGCCUACAGACCUGUAGUCCUCAGGUAAUAAAGGAGGGGGAAAGAGCCCUCACUUAUUCCAAGUGCUCUGCAGCAUUUUGAGAAGAAAAACGAAUGUGAAUCCUAGGGAUAGUGGGCCACAGUGCUGAUACAGCAUGCCCUACAGAAGUAAGUUGGGUGCAAGGCCAUGAUGAUGCAGCUACGCUGUCAUGGGUUCCAGACACACUCCCUUUGCAGUUAGCUGAGACAGUUAGCUGGACUGUUUUCCACUGCCCAGUGUACAAAAUGCCCAAUGUUUGUAUAGCCCUUAGCAAAAUAGGACCCUAUUCUUGAUUGGCCUCAAAACAGCACAGUGAUUCUAAUUAUAAAUACCAGGGAAAUAAAUGAUCACAGAAGGCAUUUGAUGUAUUUUUUCCAGCAUGCAACAGCAGUACCAAUACGUACAAGAGCACAAUGCAAUCAGAUUCUGAUGUAUGCAAUAUAUUUUUAACACAAUGGACUUCAUCCAGACUUUUCUGGCACCAUCUUCUAUUGUCUUUCAUCACUUUGCAGUGAAGUCAUGUAGGGUACUCCAGACUUGAGGUGGCUGUGGUCUAGUGCUGAGAUUAAUGCUGAAUAAAAAUCAAGUUAGUUAGUAGAGCUUAAAUAACUGUUAGGCAAAUGAAUAUUUGUUUGUGUAAAGAAACAACUGCUGAAUAGAUGAAGUAAGUCAUUUUUGUCUCUGUCUUCCUAUAGUGUGCUGCAAAAUAAACGCAGAUCUGAGAGAGAGACCCACUUCUGCUGCUGCCCACUCCUUUCUACUUUAAUAUUGUAAAUAAAUGAUUUGGAAAAAAACAAUAUCAUAAAAUAAUAAUAAUUAGAAUUCCACUGAUGUCCCUUUUAUGAUAAUAUAUUUGAGUUGUUCUUCAAAAAUCAAAUGAAGAAACUUCAGCCACAGUAGAGGUCUUAACCAAAAUUAAAGUCUUGUACUGAAAAUAUCAGCAUUUCUUAUGAGCUCACCUGGAGGGAGAUUAUGGGGCAACAAGUAAUGAGAUGGGUAAAGGACUGCUAUUCUUACUUCAUUUGGCCAAGAUCUACUCAACAUCUUGGAUUGUCCUCGUUUUUGUUGUGUAUUAAAAUGGUGCUAAGUGAGCUCAAGCAGGGCUUGGUGUUACAGACACUGUGAGACUGUCUCCUGGCAUUUUACAGUCAGAGGAGGAGUAGAGAGAAAGGAAUGAACUGGAGAGAACUUUUACAAUGCUCAUAAAACUGAUGUUAGAUCUGUGGGUGGCAUUUGCUGACAGCAUAGUCUGAAGGGACAAACAAACCAAAGGCAGAAGUGGUGAGGAAGGGAAAUGAAGAGAAAAAAAAGAGCAAGGAUGGAAAGAAGGAAACACAUGGUAGGCAAUGAAGUAAAGGUGAAGUGGCUGUGAAUAGCUAAUCACUGAAAAGAAAACAGUGUUGAAAGUAGAAGUACAUGGGAAAAAGCAGCACACAGAUAGAAUCAGUGAGUUGCUGAUAAUUCUUAGUCAAGCUGCUUUGGUUGCUUCACAUGCCAGCCUUGAGCUUCAGGCAGAAGAACAAUUGACUGUUACGACAGUCUGGAUUUAGUUCAAGGUGAAUUACGUGUGCAAUUUCAGGAUAAUUUAUCUUCGCCUGCCUUAAAAUCCAAAAGAAAGACACCGCCAACUUUUGUUCUAGCUUAACUAUUAAUUCUAUUGAUAAAAUUUUGUUAGUCAUCUUCAGAUUUAAAAAAAAAUCCAUGCAGUCAUAAUUAGAAUUCUAUGUAUAUAGAUACGAUUUACUAGGCACUCUUCUGACACAGGGAAAAUGAUACCAUUCCCCUAAACAUCAAAGAGAUUAAGACAGACAGCUCUUGGCAGAGGCCAACAGAAGGAGCAGCAAAGUAGGAGUAAGAUUUUUUCUCGUAUAACUGUGCCAGGAAGGAAAUCUUUCAGUGUUAAAGUUCAUAGAUUUGGUGAGCUUGCAAAGGGGGCUACAUGGGAAGAUGUUGUUUGACAUCGUAAGCCUCUUGUCUGGACCUACUAACACAUUCUCCUCCCUGGAGUUGAAGAAUCCAGGUCACCUUGUAAGUAGGCAAACUGCUGCUGCAGAAGUUUCUCCUUAGGUUGUUACAUCAGUAUCUCACCUUUUGCUUGCCAAGCUUGUUUAGUACCGCGGCAGGAGUCUUCUGAAAGAGACUGCUGUGCAUCUUUGAGGACAAUGUUAAAAUUAAGCAAAUGAUGCCAGAGGUUUGUGUUUUGCUCUCUGCUGCCAUGAAUGAUCAGCAUGGGCAUAUGAUAAAGGGUAACCACUUAUUUGUGUGAGUGACUGAAAGCAGUUUUGCCAACGGGGAUGUUUGGAACAGCAUUUAAUCUGAAAAGAUAAUUAAUGUCUUCUUUGUUGUGCAACAGAAGCCUAUGGAAAGAGAAUCAUAUUGCAUCAUAUCUCUCAAUAACAUACAACUGGGUGGCUGAAAUUGGGUUUAACUAGACAGACAAAAAUAACUUCGGGAGGAGCAGAGAAAGGUUAUGGGUCAUGUGAUGCUGAUUUGUUUGUUUAAAGUUGACCUAUCCCUGCAGCAGAGAGUUUAAUGGGUUCCAGUAAGGACUUGCACCCAGCAUGCAGAGCUGCAAUUACUGUGGGAUGGUUCGAAGUCUGUGUGUGUGUGUGAGGCCUGGGUCAUGUCUGUUCGUGGGGGCAGCAGUAGCUUUCGCAAAGACUACAGAUCAGACUUCCUGAGCAUCCUUCCACUGCCCUGUGAUUGACAAUCAAUAAAAAGAGACAUGAGAUACCCUGGGUGAAAAACAGGGCAUCUGAGAUUUCACUGAAGUUGUUCAAACUUGCAAGUAGAAAAAGAAAAGGAGUUUGUUGGCUAAGACAUUGUGAAUACUUUUCUCAUUUGUAUAAACCUGUAUGUAUAAACCUGUAAAUAAA
ensembl:lncRNA